rnacentral:lncRNA from 1 species
AAAAAAACCUUGUAAUAUUAAUAUUAUAUUGAGUCAAUCUUAUUUAGGCAACCUUCUUGACUAUUUAUAUCAGAAAUGUAUAUUGGAUUUUGGAAAAAAGCUUUUUCAGCAUUGAGAUAAUCAUAAAAGUUUUCUGUUUAUAUCUAUUACUAGGGUUCAUUAUUUUAAUGGAGUUUUAAACAUAUCUUCAAACACUAUGCUUGGUCUCAUAAAGACUCAGAGCUUUAAAUACUAUAUAAUAUGCUCUUAAUUCCAAAAUUAUUUUUUAUUCAAGUCUAUUUUUAGCUGUAUUCCUAAGUCUUGUGAAUAACUAUUCAAUUAGUUGAAACAGAAAUCUAGAACUCUGCAGAUUAUUUCUUCUCUCUCUCACUUAGCAUAUAAUGAAUCAAUCAAAAACACUUACAGCUUUGAUCUCGUGUCUUAAUAUGUUUCUUUAUCUUCAUCUUCCUGUAACUGUCCAUUCUCAAUCUUCACUUUAAUUGAGCAAGGAGGUACAAUUGCUUCCUCUUUUACCUGUCCUCAAACCAUAUUUCAACGUGCUGUCCUGUUUUACACUUCCUUCUCUCAUCCAACCUCAGCAGAGCACUUUACAUAUUAUGGAUGUUUGAUUGAAUUAUGUUCAUGUAGAGUCAGUUCUGCUGUAACUGACAAUUUAAGUAUCACAUAAAUUUCACGCUUGUGUAUGGGCAAUUUUGUCCUUGAGAAACACUAGGUGAACAUAGAAAACCAUAUUUAAAAGAAGCAAGUGAUAUUGGAGUCUAAACAUAAAACUUAUUUAUGAUUCAUAUACACCCUGUACACAUACCCUGAAGGUAAUUUACUUCAAAUGUCCCAUUAAAGUUGGCAAAUAGAAAAUGAUGGUUUCAUUAUUCACAGACAAAACAAAUCAGCAAUUGAAAUAGUGGCCACAAGGGCAUCUUGAUCCCCCCCAAAUCCCUGAAUCUAACUAAGAGAGUGGCGAGGAGGCUGUGAGAAGAAACUGCUCAGAGAAGGAACACAUCCUGGGUCCCACACACUUUAUGAGAUCUAAGUGACUACAGUAAGAUUCCAUUCUUGAUUCUAGUUCUUCCGAAGGACGAAAUCAUUGUGAAGAUCUUCUUGAAUGAUUGAAGAGCCAUUUUUGAACAUUGGCUUAAGAUUUAGUUUUUUUGACCCAGGAAAAAAUGCUUUGAUAUGUGGUACGUCCAAUAUAAUAAAUAGUAAAUAUAUUUCUAAAAUAUCAUAUGGAUAAAGCAUCUUAAAUGAUGCUAAGAUUAUUAAUGAAAUUAAACACUAUGUCCCGACAAACAAAACCAAACCAAAAUGCAGUCAUUUCUGUUAAGGCUUUAAGGAAACACAGAGAUUUGUAGAACAGAACAGGUUUUGUUUUUUUCUUCUGCAAAUCACUGUAACAAACAUUCCUAACCGUAUAGGUAUCCACCCACUAAAGUUCCCAUUAAAUCUUUUAACCAAAUUCAUUUCCUCUGGCCUAGAGACCAUGAAGCUUCAGAUGAUCACGCAACAGAGGCUCCAGCCAGUUCCAGGUGAUGACACCACCCAUGGCCAUCAAGAAGCUACCCUGCCUCCACUAGAUAGAACAAGGAGAGUUCCAUGAUCCCCAGUAGGUAGGGACUAUGCCCCAAGCCACCAUGAUGCAGUUA